CCUUAGAAGUGCCCGGCAGGCCGCGGUAAGUGGCCAAAAAAUAUUGAGAUACUUCCCUAGAAGCCCCUUUUGAAAAACUAUGACUUAUUAGCUUCCUCUUUCCUGUUUUCAUAAUUAAGGAUCAAUAAAUAUAUAUGACAGGUCACAGAUGUUAUAAACCAUCUUCAUUCAACUUGGCUCUACCUUUCUCUCCCUCUCUCUCUCUCUGUGUGCAUGAAAAUGCGUGUGCAAUUAACGUUUUCUUCCCCUCCAAUAAAAUUCUGGACCUUUUUGGUAGUUUGAGUAGUGCUGCUGCCACUGAGUUUGAGAAUUGAGAUCAUAAAGUACAUACAUCUUUCUCUUGAAGAUAUCAGAGUUCAGAUCUUCGCCGUUAAUAUGCUCAGAUCUCUAGCUAGAGAGUUUAAGCUGAACAGCUGCAAUGAUUUUCUCUUGAAGCGAACGAGACUUUUUUCAACAAGAGCUGGUGGUGGCCAUGGAAGGUAUUUUAUUUAUCCGACUCAUCUCAUCAUACAUAUAUAUAUAGCUUCAGAUUUGGUUUAUUAUACCUGAAUACGGAUGCGAUGUUGUCCUGGCUAGCUGCAGAUUCAAAGUUGUUAUUCAUUUUUGUUUCUCCUAGCUAAUAUCUCUAAAUUCUAAUAAUAAUAAGUUUCAUACCUCCCCUUCCACUGUGUCAAUUGUCACUCAGUAUUUGCGCCGUUCAUUUCAUUUCAUACUGUCUGUUUUUGGUGUUCAUUUAGGCAUAUUUUGCGCCAUAUUCAUAUUGUCUACUGCACUGCAUAGUGUUGGUACAGCUGUUUGACAUUCAAAUUAGCCAAAAAGAAAAGAAGUUCAUUUUUCAAGUAAUUUCCCCAAAGUGAUAAAUUAAGAGUAUUCAUAAUGGACUCUUUAAAUCACCUCCUUAGAUAAAUUAAAUUUUACAUAACA